UACGAGGGGGGGCAAGCGUUUGUUCGGAAUUACUGGGCGUAAAGGGCUCGUAGGCGGCCAACUAAGUCGGAUGUGAAAUCCCCAGGCUUAACCUGGGAACUGCAUCCGAUACUGGAUGGCUUGAAUCCGGGAGAGGGAUGCGGAAUUCCAGGUGUAGCGGUGAAAUGCGUAGAUAUCUGGAGGAACACCGGUGGCGAAGGCGGCAUCCUGGACCGGCAUUGACGCUGAUGAGCGAAAGCCAGGGGGAGCAAAACGGGG
rnacentral:rRNA from 1 species